CGCGCGCGCACCCCGCCUUCCCGCCUCAGGGCGUGGUCCUCGCGCCGCGGUCGCGGGGCGCCUUCUGUCGGCGUUACCUCUGAGCCCGGCGGAGCUGCUGUACCCCCUCUGCGGAGCGAGGGCCGGCGGCAGCCAGCCUCAGUCCCCCUUUAGCCCGGUUGUGGUGUCCGGCCGGCCCGUGGGCAGGUGCUAGGGUCUGUUUUUUGUUUUUUGGUUUUUUUACAACGAGCUCUGUAAGCGGGUGUGUGGCGUCACGGAGAGCCGGAGUUGCGUCCCGCAGCGUGCCUCGCGCUCUCAGACGCUCUCACGCCUCAGUGGGGCGGCCGCAGUUUGCAGCGCCUCCUCGGCGGAUCGUUGCAAACGUCCGUUCUCGCUGCUUCCCCAGCAGAGCACGUGCCCGGCCGCUGUGCUUCCCGCCCCCGACCCCCCGCAGGGCGGCUCGCUGAGCUUCCCGCGCAGCCCCACAGCGUUCCGCAUCCAAUCGCUGCUCGUCCUUUGCGCCUUGCAGCCUUUGUUUGCAGGGUCGCAGCCCGGAGCGGCUCCGCCAUUUCACGCGUGGCGCUCCGGGACGUGGCACGAAGCAGCGCUCGAGUCCGAUCCGAACAGAGCACUGCUAUGAUUUGAGGAUUUCAUCUGUGCCUUUGCUGCUUCCACACUGGAUCAAUACUGUUUACACAGAAGCAGCAUUAUAGGUAAGAAUCUAUUGUGCAAGACUCAUUCAUAGUCUCUAUGCAAACAUUUUUAAAAUGCAGAGUAAGAAACAUGGGCUUUAUAAUAUCAGCAAUAACAAUAAUAGAUGCAAUCUUUGUCAUUACCUCAUUAAUCUCCCCUCAUGCUCAAAGUAAACUCGGAAGGAAAAGUGAAACAUGUUUCAGUUGCUGACCUUAUGUAACCAAAACAAAAAGUGACCAAAGCAGCAGGAAAUCAGUGUUGCUUGCAGGGAUCUCCUCCUUACUAGCCAGCUUAGUUUUCCAUGCUGUGGGAAAUGAUGCAGAUAUUGGAGGACUGCCUGAUUUAAAUAAAUAAAUUGGUAAGUAGCUACCUUAAAGAUAUUCUUGAUUUCAUAUGAGUAUACAGAAUUUACUUAAAACUCUACUACAUUUUGUAAGAGUUUUAAUACAAAUUUUCAGUUCUAGUGGACUGAUCAAUGAAAUCACUAUGAAUUAUUCACUAUUUUUGCAGUUCCAAAACUACUGAGACAUUUUACAGCUACCUUGAUAGUGCAGCUUUGUAACACAAGAAAACGUGGAAUUAACAAGUUGAGAUGCAUCAAAUCUAAAGCUUUUCUCUGAUUUGCUUUGAAUAGUGUCACUGUGUAUCUGCCC
rnacentral:lncRNA from 1 species